CCUACGGGUGGCAGCAGUGGGGGAUAUUGCACAAUGGGGGAAACCCUGAUGCAGCGACGCCGCGUGUAGGAAGACGGUCCUCUGGAUUGUAAACUACUGUCCCCAGGGACGAAGAUGACGGUACCUGGGGAGGAAGCUCCGGCAAACUACGUGCCAGCAGCCGCGGUAAUACGUAGGGAGCGAGCGUUGUCCGGAUUUACUGGGUGUAAAGGGAGCGUAGGCGGGGAUGCAAGUUGGGUGUUAAAUCUACCGGCUCAACUGGUAGUCGCACUCAAAACUGCAGCGCUUGAGUGAAGUAGAGGCAGGCGGAAUGCAUAGUGUAGCGGUGAAAUGCGUAGAUAUUAGGAGGAACACCAGUGGCGAAGGCGGCCUGCUGGGCUUUUACUGACGCUGAGGCUCGAAAGUGUGGGGAGCAAACAGGAUUAGAUACCCUAGUAGUC
rnacentral:rRNA from 1 species